rnacentral:rRNA from 1 species
UCUCCUGAAGGAACGUUGAAGACGACGACGUUGAUAGGCCGGGUGUGUAAGCGCAGCGAUGCGUUGAGCUAACCGGUACUAAUGAACCGGGAGGCUUAACCUUACAACGCCGAAG